UCCCCAAUUACAUUCUGUUUACAGACGUCUUGGAAGCACCGACAGAGGCAACGUUCAGCUACAAUCACAAGCAACAAAAACACAGAAUCUCAUUUUAGCCGGUAUUUUCAACGAAAUGCCGGAUCGCUGGGAAUAAAGUCGUUUCGUGUCAAUCAUCCAACAUCACAACGAGCAGAUAUCUGGCCAAAAUAACACGCUCUGUAAAUCCGACCACCUGGAAGUGCUCCAAAAUCCUUAAAACAUUCUCGAGCGAGAAGAUCGCGAGGAUUUGCCGAGCAGCUGACUCGCAAGACUUCGUUGCAGAUGUUUGCAAAGAUUCCCUGAAACAAGGAGCGACGCACCGGUUACGGGAAGGUGAGCGGCUCGGCCACCCCGUUGAGGAGAGGGUGAACGCGGCGCGGAUAUAGAAUCUGAAAAGGAGCGAACACCAGGGGAGGAUAUGGAGGCCGAGGACGAGAGGCUAAACUCCGUUCAGCUCCCUUCAGUCGGCAUCAGAAGUCUUGGCGGCGACCCCACGGCAUCCCGAGGUCGGUAUUAACCCUUCUACGACGCGUUUCUCCGGUUCCCCAGCGCGUGAAAGCUUACAUUGGUUGGCUUACAUCAUUAUUCUGUCCGCUUAAUUUCUUCUUCGUCGCAAGCCGGAUGGCGGUCGUCGAAAUGCCCGGCGCAUGGCUCGCUACAGGAGGAAACCUACGUGAGGCGAGAUUAGCCUAUAUCCGGUUACAACCCUUUCGACGUGUAGUACACGGCGAUACGAUGCCGGCCUUUCCGUACGGCUUCAUAUUGUUGUGUAUUAUCGUUGUCGAGCAUCGGGUGAAACGCGUCCGGUGGUCGUGAGCAACGCGAAUAGCAACGUGCGAUUCGCUGCCGUGGAAUUAAUGUCAAUUCAAUUUACCAUUUAGGGUUACGAGACGGUGCUUCUUCCGAGGGCCUCUCGCAGCCAAAAUCAAUUGGCCAUGAAUAAACUCGGCAACUUAACCACGGCACUGCCGUUUAACCGCGUUACUUCACCUUCACGAUUUUUCCCUGGUGACAAUUCCGGCUUACUGCUUCGAUUUGUUUUGUUCUUUAAUCCACUAUACGCACAGACUUAUUAUUUUCUUCUUGCAACUUCUUCUCUUCAGAAAUCUCCUCUUUGAAAGUUUACGUUAGCGAAUUUUUUAACAUCGCGAUCAUGAACAAGAAUCUCAACGAUUUGGUUAACCUCUUUUUCAUUAUUAUCCCUUCUUUCACCUGGAACUUGCAACUUUACGAAGUUCGAGGAAAUUUGAAAUAUUUCUAGCAGUAUGAGGAAAAGGAUAUUUCUUAAAAAUCAUGAAUAAAUGAAACACUUUGCCAGUAGAUAAAUAAAAUACCUUGUACGGUACUUUUCAAGUUCCUAAAUAAUACAACCAGCGACUCAACAUCUAUUCAAAAUUAAUCAAAGAUGUUAAAUAUGACUCAGAUAGUAGAAAACUUCGAGAAGCUUAAAGGAGGAGAGAUUAAAACAGAAGGUCGAGCAAUCUUCCUUUUUUGCGCUAAUUUGCAUCGCGUUAGAUGAAUAUUUAAACGACGCUUGAAUAGUCAAAUAUGUUACUUAACAAGAAUAACUUGGAGCGGAUCUUGAAACGUUGUUACCGACAAUUAAAUUAGAGCUAGGAAAUCUUAGCGUCAGACAUAGUUAUAGUGUAAAUUAAACACGAACAAAGUGAUAUUUUUCUUAGCCGGAAUUAACGUCGACACGAUGAAAUAGCAUUUCAAUUGUCCGUUAUUCAACCGUGAACAAAGGGAAAAUGUGGCCAAAUUUUUUCAACCUCUUUGCCAAGCUCAUUUCAGUUAUUUUACUUAAAUCCCCUUAGGUUUUUCUCUUCCAUCGUCGAAUUACGUACUUCGUAUAACGUUUGAUACUCCUGGACAAAAGACAGAAUUUAUUGUUAGUAAAAUUUCCAGCACAUUGAUAAAACUACAUAUUUAGAAUAGUUUUAUUUUUUUACUGAAACGCGAUGAAUAUUAGUCAAGCAACUUGAUACCACUGUAUCAAUUUAAACUUCUUACUUUACUUCACAUGAAGUAUCCUUUCCAAGUUUCAAGUGAAUUUGGGAUUCUUUUCGUUGUUCCGUGACUUCAAAGAAACAAGUUGCUAGAUAAUUUAAUUUCUAGUUACGUUCUUGCGGAUAUUUGUUCCUUAGAUAAAAUCAGACACUUUGUAAACAUUGCAUUCGCUUAUUCUAAGAAAAUUAUUAAACUUUCUACGCUCGUUGUAAGAUGAUUUUUAUUCAACUUUAAUUCAACCAACAAAAUUCUACCAAUAUAUAUUUCUUUCGUCAAUCCAUUUUCUUUUAGUCAAAUAUAUAAUUUCUUUGCAAUGUUGUUUCUUUUAAACUCAUAACAAGUGUUUAUGUGUGUGUGUGUGAAUUACUCUAAGUAAAAAUUACUCUAAAGCUUAUGAAAAUGUAAUGUUAUUCAUUUAUCACCAACGUUCCAAAUUAACUAAUGUUUAUAAACAAUUAAUUAUUCCGAGGAAACAAAGGUCACGAUACGUGUAUUCGGUUCAAUUAUCACGAAGCAUCUUGUCCGAUAUAAUUCACGGAUCGGAACAGGCACGAUAGAUAUCGACGGAUCGUGUGCACCUCUGGGAUGGCGGAAGUCAUCGAGCUGAUCGCGAAGUACGAUAUCCGCGUAUUAUUCGCAAUAUUCGAAGCUCGAGUAAUGGAUAGCCACGGGGGCAAUAUUAGCAAUCGAUCAAAGAAACUUUACAUCCAUAUGGAUUUCGCGUGCUCAGCAAAAACCUUUGCGUUAAUGCCACUACGAUGUAUGUACUAUCGUGUAACUUCGUGAUUCCACCAUUAUCUCUUUCGUUUAUUUUUCUUUUGUAAAAAUUACAGACUUACACAGCGGAGAAUAUUAUUCCCUUUUUCUUUUAUCAUGAAAUCGUUUUGAAACGAUAUCAAACGUAUUUGUUCACCGAGUUCUGUUUCCCAUCGAUCCAGAUACGAACAAAAGCUUUCGUUUUAUUUUAUUUUAUUUUAUUUUAACGGAAUAAAAAAUAGGAGCAUGUUCUACGGUUAUGAAACGCCUACGCAAUUAUUCCAUUGCCGAAAACAGAGCGGACGGAUGAGAGAGAGAGAGAGAGAGAGAGAGAGAGAGAGAGAUAAAAAAAGAAUUCGUAUAACCGAGAAUUCGUGGGAGCGUAAUUUUUUUUUUUAAUUUUCCCUUGCCUACGUUCGAGCCACGUUUUCGUUUAGUAGAUUCGUUGCGAAUUCAAUGAAUUCGACGCAGAAAUUUAUUCUUCUUGAAGGAUUAUGCUCUUCAGACAGCCGACUGUGUGAUAAUUUCAUUAAUUACGACGGUUCCAUUAACCAGCCACUUUACGUGCAGCGAGACAGUUUUCGUCGCGCGAUAUUAAUUGUUAUAGUCGAUUUUCCAUACAGGCUGUCGUGGAUGUGAUGUGGCUGGUGUUGUAACAUAACUCAAUAUUUUACGAAACUAUAGUUGCUUUACUUAAUAUAUUAGAAGAGUUCUAUAAUAUAAGAGAAACUUUACCUAAUAUAUUAAGCAAUUACGUAACUACAUACAUAACAGUAACGAUACUUCGAACAGAAGAUAUAAUAGUAUCAUGUAAGAAAUAUUUUUGUUAAAAGAUUAAUAGCAUGUAUUUGUGAAAUAAUUAGGAAAUGAUAUUUCUUUCUUAAAAAAAAAAAAAAAAAAAAAAAAAGAACAAAACGGAAAAUAUUGGAGAUGCACUGUUUUAUAAAUUUAAAUUAAAAUACUCUUACAAUUGGAACUUAAAAGGUUAGUUCGAACAAUAUGUGCUAUUGUACGAUGAAUAUGUGUUAUAUGAACUGAGCUUGUUUUUUAAUGUUAGGAGAAGGAUACGAGAAAUGGUGCUCCAUAAAUUGCACUAUAUGUAUAUUUUAUAUCUUGUUCAGAUCUGCAAAGAAAUAUAAAAAUAUUGGCACGUCAGGGUGUAAGUUUCUAUAUUUUCACAAACUUAUCAAUUAAAACAGCAUAUUGUUAUAAGAUUUAUUGUAUAGACAGAGUUCUUUAAAUACUUUUAUAAUAAUAUGAAAGUUGAAAAGAGCGAUAUUUCAUAAAUCACACGAAGUAUAGUUUAUACUUCAUUCAAAUAUAACGAUAUGAACAAUCAUUUCUCUGAGACAUACUGCCUCAGACUUAGAGAAGAUAAUACUUUAUCUUAUAUGUUCUGUUUUUCGUAUUAAUAUCAUUUUUGUUUUGUUUUCAUAUCAAAUUCGUACAAUAUUGUACUGUUUCCUCUCCUCUUUUCCGUUUCCCACGGGAUAUAUUUAUUACGAAUUAUCAACAAAAAGUACACGCGAUAUUUGAACGAUUCAGAUUAUUCUUUUCACAGUGACCUGAAUAAAAGAGAGCUUACAGGCGAUUGAAAUAUUCUGUAUUGUUUCUAAAGGAACUUUGUAUUUAUCGCUGCAACCGCCAGCUAAAGAACUGUCACCGACAGGUUGCAUAAUUUAAAAUUUCCUUCCACUCACGCUAUUUCGCAUGCUGUCUCGUCCAUAGUACGGACAUCGUGCCUUUUACAGCGAAUAGCGCAACUUUUAUUUUUCUCCCUGAUUAGUAUUGACUCUUUUUCUAUACUUUGAACAAAUAGACAGAUAAAAUAUAUGUAACUUCGCAAAAAGAGAAAUGAUAAUAAUGAUAUAUAAUCAUUCAAUCUUCAUUUGUAAGUAGAAGAUCCACACUGGUUUACAAGCAAAAAAUCAACUCUUUUGCUUUGUAAUUUGUCCAAAUUUCGAAAAUUCACAAUCGAUCAUUCUGUAUAAUUAUUUCAAUCAGGUUACUCAUUUUAUCUUAUUAUCCGUGCAUUAUAUCCGCAAUUGUAUAACGAACGUAUUAUAAAGUAAUGUAUCUUUCUAAUAAUACAACAAUCGAUUCGUAUAAUAAGUAUAAUAUACAUAGGUGAUUGUAAUAAUUAAUACGAAAAUCUAUCAUUAUCGGCUCGUAAUAUAAUAAGUGUAUUACAUAGAUGAUUGUAAUCAAAAUUUUGCAAUGAAAAUAAAUACGCCCAUCUGUACAAUUAUGUUUGUGUCUCUGUAAAAGUCAAUAAUACCUCCAUCAUGAGCUGCUGUAUGUUUGAAAUUAUCCUACAAAAUAAAAAAAUAAGAAACAAUUAGAAUAGCUAAAUAAUUUUGUUCGUCGAAAUGUAAUUUUCAUUGCGUUUAACGAUGUUUUCUCAACUUCGUCAUAAUUUUCGAUCGUAUUUUUCACAAAGUAGUUAGUUAAAUAAUUUUCUACGUGUCUGCCGGCUAUUACAGCCGGCCACAGAAAUUCUAAAAGAAAAAAUCAUAUUUCAUUCGAACGCAACUGCUUCUGCAGUUACAGCACGUAACGAAGUUACAAAACUCCCCUAUUCACCAUACACAGUAGAAUAGUUGAUUGCAC